CCCCUAGUAACGGCGAGUGAAGAGGGAAAAGCUCAAAUUUUGAAUCUGGUGUCUUUGACUCCCGAGUUGUAAUCUAGAGAAGUGUUUUCCGUGUCGGACCGUGCACAAGUUCCCUGGAACGGGGCGUCAUAGAGGGUGAGAAUCCCGUAUAUGGCAUGGACUGCCGAUGCUCUGUGAUACACUCUCAACGAGUCGAGUUGUUUGGGAAUGCAGCUCAAAAUGGGUGGUAAAUUCCAUCUAAAGCUAAAUAUUGGCGAGAGACCGAUAGCGAACAAGUACCGUGAGGGAAAGAUGAAAAGCACUUUGGAAAGAGAGUGAAACAGUACGUGAAAUUGUUGAAAGGGAAGCGUUUGAAGUCAGUCAUGUCUGGCGGGAUUCAGCUUGGCUUUUGCCUGGUGUAUUUUCCGUCCGACGGGUCAGCAUCAAUUUCGACCGAGGGAAAAAGACGUGCGGAAUGUGGCUGUCUUCGGGCAGUGUUAUAGCCCCGCGUUGUAUGCCUCGGUUGGGAUUGAGGAACGCAGCGCGCCUAUAGGCCAGGGGCUACCCGCCUCUUGACACGCGCUUAGGAUGCUGGCAUAA
rnacentral:rRNA from 1 species